AUAAAUAAGCGGAGGAAAAGAAACCAACAGGGAUUCCCUGAGUAACGGCGAGCGAAAAGGGAAGAGCCCAGCGCCGAAUCCCGAGCCCUUUGGGUUUCUGGGAAAUGUGGCGUUUAGGAGCGAGCGUGCCGGAGGUUGACUCUGCAGCAAGUCCCCCUGACCGGGGCUUUUAUCCAGAGCGGGUGCGAGGCCCAUAGCUGCUAGGUCUCCUUCGGAUGCGAACUCCUUGGAGUCGGGUUGCUUGGGAGUGCAACCCUAAUCGGGUGGUAAACUCCACCUAAGGCUAAAUACGGCCGUGAGACCGAUAGCAAACAA
rnacentral:rRNA from 1 species